AUACAGCCUGCAAAAAUCACUGGAGUACAGUGCAGAGAAUGGAGUUUGUCAUGAUCAUAAGGAGAGAAAUAGGAGGUUAAGAAUUUAAGAGGGUUGAUCCUCUUGAGAAUUUUUGUGAUACGUGUGUGAGCCAACAGGAGAGAGUGCCAAAGGGGCAGAACCAAUCUUGGAAGCAAAUGGGAACUGACUGAGCAAAGUGUUAAAGUUGGAGGAAGAGCAAGAGCCAAGAAAUGACAGAAGGGCACUUGUUGGGUUUCCUUCUCUAAGAUGAAACCAAAUGAUGGAUAAAGGCAUUAGUAACAGUUGAGUUUUCAAGUAUAAUUGUAGUGGACUUAAAUCUAGUUUGGGGCACUUUUUAGCAAUAACUUCUAUGUAGGAGUUUAAAUACAGUGGAACCAUAGCUUCCCCA